UACGGGGGGAGCAAGCGUUGUUCGGAUUUACUGGGCGUAAAGGGCGUGUAGGCGGCCACCGCAAGUCGGUUGUGAAAUCUCCGGGCUUAACCCGGAAAGGUCAACCGAUACUGCGGGGCUAGAGUGCAGAAGGGGCAACUGGAAUUCUCGGUGUAGCGGUGAAAUGCGUAGAUAUCUGGAGGAAUACCGGUGGCGAAGGCGGCAUCCUGGACCGACAUUGACGCUGAACGGCGAAAGCUAGGGGAGCAAACGGG
rnacentral:rRNA from 1 species